rnacentral:tRNA from 1 species
UGGCUCAGUGGUAGAGCAUCGGCUUGGUAUGCCGAAGAUUAAGGGUUCAAAUCCCUG